rnacentral:rRNA from 1 species
AUUGAACGCUGGCGGCAUGCCUUACACAUGCAAGUCGAACGGCAGCAUAGGAGCUUGCUCCUGAUGGCGAGUGGCGAACGGGUGAGUAAUAUAUCGGAACGUGCCCUAGAGUGGGGGAUAACUAGUCGAAAGAUUAGCUAAUACCGCAUACGAUCUACGGAUGAAAGUGGGGGAUCGCAAGACCUCAUGCUCCUGGAGCGGCCGAUAUCUGAUUAGCUAGUUGGUGGGGUAAAAGCCUACCAAGGCGACGAUCAGUAGCUGGUCUGAGAGGACGACCAGCCACACUGAGACUGGGACACGGCCCAGACUCCUACGGGAGGCAGCAGUGGGGAAUUUUGGACAAUGGGGGCAACCCUGAUCCAGCAAUGCCGCGUGGGUGAAGAAGGCCUUCGGGUUGUAAAGCUCUUUUGUCAGGGAAGAAACGGUUUUGGAUAAUACCCAGAGCUAAUGACGGUACCUGAAGAAUAAGCACCGGCUAACUACGUGCCAGCCGCCGCGGUAACAC